rnacentral:rRNA from 1 species
AUUGAACGCUGGCGGCAUGCCUUACACAUGCAAGUCGAACGGCAGCACGGGGCAACCUGGCGGCGAGUGGCGAACGGGUGAGUAAUGCAUCGGAACGUACCUUUCAGUGGGGGAUAACGUAGCGAAAGUUACGCUAAUACCGCAUAUUCUGUGAGCAGGAAAGCAGGGGAUCGCAAGACCUUGCGCUGAUUGAGCGGCCGAUGUCAGAUUAGCUAGUUGGUGAGGUAAAGGCUCACCAAGGCGACGAUCUGUAGCGGGUCGGAGAGGAUGAUCGGCCACACUGGAACUGAGACACGGUCCAGACUCCUACGGGAGGCAGCAGUGGGGAAUUUUGGACAAUGGGGGCAACCCUGAUCCAGCCAUGCCGCGUGAGUGAAGAAGGCCUUCGGGUUGUAAAGCUCUUUCGGCCGGGAAGAAAUCGCACGGGCUAAUACCCUGUGUGGAUGACGGUACCGGAAUAAGAAGCACCGGCUAACUACGUGCCAGCCGCCGCGGUAAAAC